rnacentral:misc_RNA from 1 species
UUGGUGAAAUGCGGCAGAGGAGAGAUCAGGACACCGGGCGUGCAACCAUGCAGGGAGCAAAGACGGAAGGCAGGGCGGGGCGCUGUAGCUGAAGGCGACGACGACGACGAUGAAGGUUUUGCUGCUCCGCACACCGCGCGCAGUGGCGACGCGACCACAGCCGGUCGCCGCCUCGGAUCGAGGAGGAGGAGCCGAUGGAGGUGCUUGUGGUGGCUACGGUGGCGAGGUGAGGAAGUGGAUGCAGUUGGUGCUGCGCCGGAGAGCCCCAUUCUCCGACGUCGACUGCGUAGCUUCGCCGUCUACAGCCGCAGGAUUUUCGGCUUCGACCCCGGUCGGGCCCGCACGGCGACCACAGUGCGGUACCGGAAUAGGGUUCUCGGCGGCGGGGACGGGUGGUGA